UUCAAGUUGUAAGGAACAAUAACAUGUUCUGGGACCUUCGCUGGCAGAGUUGACCCAGCGAAUCCGUGGGAAAAGGCAGAAGGCUGGGAAGCUGCCUCCGAAUUAAAGAGCCGGACCUCACUGAGGACUGGGACAUUUUCUACAACAAGAUGACAACUCCAUCAGGUAUUUGCUGGGCUGGGGAUCUGAGCCGGGCUGGCCAAUGUGGCAGGGUCACAGGGGACGAAGCAAGCAAUACAGCUCCCACCAUGGAGGAACGGAUAUGUAUUUCAACUGGAUCCGCCAAUGUUUAUUAAAAAUAUUGCCCUUUCACCAUCACACUGCUGUUCACCUUUACCAUAAAUCAGGUAACUAUGUUAUGUGUAGGUCUGUUUCUCAACCAUUUGUUCCACUAGUCUAUUUGUGUAUCUUUGUUACAA